GGAGCUUGCUCGCUGAUNUGUCGGCGGGCGGGUGAGUGACGCGUGGGUAACCUGCCUGUAAGACUGGGAUAACUCCGGGAAACCGGGGCUAAUACCGGAUGGUUGUUUGAACCGCAUGGUUCAGACAUAAAAGGUGGCUUCGGCUACCACUUACAGAUGGACCCGCGGCGCAUUAGCUAGUUGGUGAGGUAACGGCUCACCAAGGCGACGAUGCGUAGCCGACCUGAGAGGGUGAUCGGCCACACUGGGACUGAGACACGGCCCAGACUCCUACGGGAGGCAGCAGUAGGGAAUCUUCCGCAAUGGACGAAAGUCUGACGGAGCAACGCCGCGUGAGUGAUGAAGGUUUUCGGAUCGUAAAGCUCUGUUGUUAGGGAAGAACAAGUGCCGUUCAAAUAGGGCGGCACCUUGACGGUACCUAACCAGAAAGCCACGGCUAACUACGUGCCAGCAGCCGCGGUAAUACGUAGGUGGCAAGCGUUGUCCGGAAUUAUUGGGCGUAAAGGGCUCGCAGGCGGUUUCUUAAGUCUGAUGUGAAAGCCCCCGGCUCAACCGGGGAGGGUCAUUGGAAACUGGGGAACUUGAGUGCAGAAGAGGAGAGUGGAAUUCCACGUGUAGCGGUGAAAUGCGUAGAGAUGUGGAGGAACACCAGUGGCGAAGGCGACUCUCUGGUCUGUAACUGACGCUGAGGAGCGUAAUG
rnacentral:rRNA from 1 species